GAAGCUGACCAGACAGUCGCCGCUUCGUCGUCGUCCUCCUUCGGGGGGAGACGGGCGGAGGGGAGGAAAGUCCGGGCUCCAUAGGGCAAGGUGCCAGGUAACGCCUGGGGGGGAAACCCACGACCAGUGCAACAGAGAGCAAACCGCCGAUGGCCCGCGUAAGCGGGAUCAGGUAAGGGUGAAAGGGUGCGGUAAGAGCGCACCGCGCGGCUGGUAACAGUCCGUGGCACGGUAAACUCCACCCGGAGCAAGGCCAAAUAGGGGUUCAUAAGGUACGGCCCGUACUGAACCCGGGUAGGCUGCUUGAGCCAGUGAGCGAUUGCUGGCCUAGAUGAAUGACUGUCCACGACAGAACCCGGCUUAUCGGUCAGUUUCACCU
rnacentral:RNase_P_RNA from 1 species